rnacentral:lncRNA from 1 species
CCCCCUAAACUAUGACUCAUUUUGCGCUUUGCCCCCCAAACAAUUUUUUUUUGCACGUUUUUACCUAAACUCGAGUUUUUGUUGCACGGUGCCCAAAAAGUGGUAUAUUCCGGCAAAAUUCACCGGAAAUCUGUGCACGCGCGCCACAUGUGAAAUUGAUAGGGUUAAAUUUGUCUAUUCACUCGCAUCUUGACUAAAAGUUUAAUUUUUCCUUUUUCUUUUUUAUCUCUUCUUUUCAUUUUUCAUUUUU